GAUGAACGCUGGCGGCGUGCUUAACACAUGCAAGUCGAACGAUGAAGCCCAGCUUGCUGGGCGGAUUAGUGGCGAACGGGUGAGUAACACGUGAGUAACCUGCCCUUGACUCUGGGAUAAGCCCUGGAAACUGGGUCUAAUACCGGAUAGGAGCGCCUGUCGCAUGACGGGUGCUGGAAAGAUCUUUCGGUCAUGGAUGGACUCGCGGCCUAUCAGCUUGUUGGUGAGGUAACGGCUCACCAAGGCGACGACGGGUAGCCGGCCUGAGAGGGUGACCGGCCACACUGGGACUGAGACACGGCCCAGACCCCUACGGGAGGCAGCAGUGGGGAAUAUUGCACAAUGGGCGAAAGCCUGAUGCAGCGACGCCGCGUGAGGGAUGACGGCCUUCGGGUUGUAAACCUCUUUCAGCAGGGAAGAAGCGAAAGUGACGGUACCUGCAGAAGAAGCACCGGCUAACUACGUG
rnacentral:rRNA from 1 species